rnacentral:sRNA from 1 species
ACUGCAGGAAUAAGUUCGGCGUAAUUUAUUUCUGUGGUGAAUCCUUUCUAAGCGAAAGGGCGUUCCAGCCAACUGCUAUCUGCAGGUAUGCGCGCGACUUUGCUGGCUGGAGUAGAGUCACCGGGAGGCACCCGGCACCAUGACAACAACAAUACAGUUUCAAAUUCCUUGAGAGCCUGCCGUAAAAAGCAGGCCUUUUUUUAUGA